rnacentral:lncRNA from 1 species
AGCACCAGAGUCCUCAGCAUUUGCAUCAGCAAACGGAUCUAGCGUAAAACCGCAAAGCAUAUGAGUUCAUUUUCCAUGGGUGAUCCAAUUUAAUCGAUAAGAAAGGGGCAAUGCUUACCAAAGGCAGUAGGAAUUUGGAUGUCAAGAUCAGACAUGAAACUUAGCUGACGGAAAGGUCAAACGAGUUCAACGCACUGAAAACCUACAUUGCAAGGUCAAAUCUUGAUCAGAUAUUUCGUUUACUAGAUCUUUUCAGUUCGGAACUUCCUAUCUUUCAAGCAAAAUCAUUUUCUGCAAACACUAACCGGUCACCCUGGGGGUAACAUAGCAAAUAAAUUUCAUCAAAAACACAAAUUUAGUAUUCUUGGUAAGAAAAGAGAAGAUGAGAAAGCACCAAAAAACCAUACACAGAUUUCAGCAGUUACAAGCAUAAGCCUCGAACUCAUAUCGGAAUUUUAGCAAAAGGGAAACUCGUUAUAUUGAUCUGAUCUAAAGAGGGGGCACAUGUGAUUUGGUCCUAAAAAGAAUUCAAGCAUAAGCCCUAAAUUAU